rnacentral:rRNA from 1 species
UACGUAGGGUGCGAGCGUUAAUCGGAAUUACUGGGCGUAAAGUGUGCGCAGGCGGCAGAGCAAGUCGAGUGUGAAAGCCCCGGGCUUAACUUGGGAAUUGCGCUCGAAACUACUUUGCUGGAGUGUGGCAGAGGAAGGUGGAAUUCCACGUGUAGCGGUGAAAUGCGUAGAGAUGUGGAGGAACACCAAUGGCGAAGGCAAUCCCCUGGGCCUGUACUGACGCUCAUGCACGAAAGCGUGGGGAGCAAACAGG